rnacentral:lncRNA from 1 species
AGCGGUACAGAGGCAUGUGGCGACGCGCGUGGGAAGGGUGCGACGGCGGCGGCUGCUGAAAGGGGGCUAGGGUUUCUGCUUUUUGUUUUUAGUUGGGCUAGGGUUUUUUAUUUUUUUGGGUUUGUUGUAAUUGGGUCUGGAUUUUAGGCCUGGACAUUUAGGCUAAUUUAUUAUUUAUUUUUUUGUUUGGUUUAGUAUAACGGGCCGGAAAAAUCGGGCUUGUUACAUAUGUUUAAGCAUGAAUUUGGGUUAUAUGUUCAUAUUUACAUGUGCAUGGAGUGUUUGUCAUCUUAUGAUUUGUUUUAAUCAUAUGAUAUAAAUAUGCAUGAAUUAUUUUAGCAUGAUUGAGUCAAGUGUUUAGUUU